rnacentral:rRNA from 1 species
UACAGAGGGUGCGAGCGUUAAUCGGAAUUACUGGGCGUAAAGCGCGCGUAGGCGGCUUUGCAAGUCGGGUGUGAAAUCCCCAGGCUUAACCUGGGAACUGCAUUCGAGACUGCAUUGCUAGAGUAUGGGAGAGGGAAGUGGAAUUUCCGGUGUAGCGGUGAAAUGCGUAGAUAUCGGACGGAAGACACUCAGUGGGCGAAAGGCAGU